UUUCUAUUCAUGAGUCAGCUUCGGCAAGUUAUAUUUUAUAUAAAAUUGUCCAUUAUGUCUCUCUUUUCAAAGUUAUCGAUGUAAAGUUCUGCACAAUUCUUCACAGUUGUCUAUUUUCCAUUUCUAAUAUUAUUUAUUUGUAAUUUUUCUUUUUUCUUGAUCAAUCUUGCUGAAGAUUUGCUAUUAUAGUGGUUCUUUCAAAGAACAAGCUUUCAGUGUUGUUGAACAUUUUUAUGUCUUUCAUUUCUAUUUUAUUUGUUAAUUUAUUUAUUUGAGGAAGAUUAGCCCUGAGCUAACAUCUGCCACCAAUCCUCCUCUUCUUGCUGAGGAACGCUGGCCCUGAGCUAACAUGCAUGCCCAUCUUCUUCUACUUUAUAUGUAGGAUGCCUACCACAGCAUGGCUUGCCAAGCAGUGCCAUGUCUGUACCCGGCAUCUGAACCGGCAACCCAGGCCGCUGAAAUGUGUGAACUUAACCGCUGCACCCCCGGGCUGACCCCUAUUUCAUUUAUUUUUGAUCUCAUCUCGCUCCUUCCUCUUACUUUCUUUAGGCUUACUCUUUUUUUUUUUUUUUAACUUACUGAGUUAGACACUUAGUUUAAUUUCACUAUUUCUUUUUUCUCUAAUAUAUACAUCUAAAACUAUACAUUUUCAUGUAAGUAAUACUGUGCUGGAUUUAAAGUUAUGUCCACAAAAUUCUUUGAUACUUUUCUCUUUGAAUGGUAGAGCUUAAUUCCUUUCCCCUUGGCUAUGGACUUAGGGACUCAUUGCCAAUAAAUAGACCGCUGUGGAAGUGAUGGUGUGUGAGCUUGGAAUUGGAUGGUCCAGCUUCAGAUAACUGCAGCUCCAGCUGACAUCUUGAAUGCACCUCGUGAGAGACCUUGAGCCAGAACCACUCAGCUAAGUUGCUCUGAGAUUCCUGACCCACAGACCCUCUGAGAUAAUAAAUGUUUGUUAACUUAAGCUGACACCUCAUCAGAACCAGCAGGAGACAGCAUCACCCCGUGUCUGAUAUUCCUGUUGCCAGCAGCUGCAAUUAGGAUGUAGGAGAGCCAACAUUCCCAAGACUCAGCACAAGAAUUCUACUAGUUAACAGCAGGAGGAAAGAGCAGGAUGAGAAGCGCAAAAACUUACCCAUGGAAGAAGAAAAUGGAAGAAAAUGUUAAAUAGAAUGUGGGGCAUGUAAUGUUUUGCUUUGACAGUGAUAUUGAUCUUUUGCUUUUGCACCUGAGUCUUGGUCCCUUUUGUUACAUGUUCCGUGAGCGCUCAAAAGACUGCGUUGCUCUUAAGUUCAAGGCUGUAUGUAUGCCCAUUAGGUGAACUUUAUUUUGUUACUCAAAUAUGCUAUAUCGUUAUUAGAAGAAUGUUAUUUUAUGGUUCAAAUGUUCUAUAUCCUUCUGAAUAUUUUGUCUUUAAGUGUCAAUGAGUGAGAGAAAUAUGUUUAAAAAUCUGCUACUAUGAUUGUUGAUUUACCACGUUCUUUUUGUAAUUCUAACGAUGUUAAAUGUUAAAUGUAUUAGAGCUUAGAACUGUUACAGUUUCCAGAUAAAUUGUUCCUUUUACCAGAAUGUAGUGUCCCUUUUUCUAUAACCUAAUAAUACUUCUUGCAUUAAAGUUUAUUUUCUCAGAUAUUGACAUAGUUACAUCAACUUUCCCUUUAUCGCUAACUGCUAUAUCGUUUUUAAUCUUUCAGUGCCAUUGUUUUAUUAGUUCUUUUGUAAACAGCAUAGCUGGAUUAUUUUUCCCAGUCUAGGAGCCUGUCUUUUGGCAAAUAUGAGUUACUCUUCUUAUGUUUAUUGUAAUUAUUGAUAGAUCAAUUAAUUUCUAUUAU
rnacentral:lncRNA from 1 species